rnacentral:miRNA from 1 species
UCCUUGAUCUGACGGCUACC